rnacentral:lncRNA from 1 species
CAAGCCGUCCGUGCGAAAUCUUACUAAAGAGAAGCACAGGGGAGACACCCUAGUAACACAGGCACCUCCAGAGCCCACAUUCAAAGUCUCCUUCGAGAAAUCGACGACCCAAGACACAAAUCACCAAACACACAUAUGAAUAUGAGGAAGAGAUCGUCCGUUUUCGAUAUACAAACUUCAACGGCUGCAGGAGAACGCUUUCUAUUAGACAAAUAACCUUGGUCGACAUAGAGACGUGACAGAACUAUCUCUUUACGCCUCUUCUCAUUAAGGAAUAACGACUUGGAUGCGAACAUUUCACAGUGAGACUAUCUAAGCUCUUUAUGUUUAGGUGGGAAUAGUUCGGUCAAAAUCAGACCGAUUUCACUAAAAAGAGCUUGUCAGAAAGGCUAUCCCGUGAAAUACCUCCGAUUCCAAAUCUGAUUUUUGCUUUGAGUUGGGACAACCAGCUUAAGUAGUUCCGGUGAUAGGGGGUAAAAGGGGCAUAGACCCACGUUAUAGCUCUCGUAACUCGGUCAUGGAUUUCUUUUUAGUUACCCCGACCGGAAGUUCAAAUGAGUUAGGAACCUUUACUUGAAGCCUUACUUUUCCCCCUUUCUCUUUCUUGUCUAGCGCAGAAAAAAAAGAUGGUUUCGCUGAUGGCGCAAUCAGACCACAAGUUGCUUAGGUCAGCUGUUCCCCCUCAAGGUCUCUCUUCAGAGCAGGAAAAAACUACCUUAUUUACCCAGCAGGAUAGAAUCGAAUUCAAAAUCCAGGCUUCAAGCUGGUCUUGUAAAAAAUGACUUAGAAUAAAGCAAAGCUACUGGAACAUCCAGAGACUGUUCCUCAAGCGGGAAGUGAAAGGCCGGAAAGCAGGAAGGCAUUGGAUAGAUGUCCGGACAUUGAGAAAGAUAUGAGGCUAGCUAACACAUGCAAAUCUCUCUCGACGGCCCCUCCGUAAGUAACUCAGUGAGAAGUAGCUCAGCGACUACUUUCUACGCCUAUCAAAGAAAAGGGAUAGACCAAUGUGGGUUCCAAACCUCACCUUGACUUCGAUUCGAGCGACUCUUGCCUAGAAAAAGCCGAUGAAAUGGGACCGCGAAGACAGCCCACCACUGAAACUUGCUUUGCUCUCGCUCGGCUCGCUCCCACCUGUCUUCUUCCCACUAUAGUGAAAGAUCUUUCACUUCACCAUAGCAGGAACCUCACUAGCCUUCUCGGCCAGUUAGUCUAACCACAGGGAUCCCUUCCUGCUUAUCCACCCACCGUAAACGAUUACUAACGAACUUGGAAUACGAAUGAGAUCAAAAAGGCCAUCAUUGGGGCAAACGAUGCAAUAGCUUCGGUUAGAGCAAAGCCCAAAAUGGCAUAACCAAAUAAUUGUUUUGCCAAUGAUGGAUUUCGCGCCACGGAAUGAAUCGAGGGUUCGGAGGAGAAUUGGCCAUUCAAUCUUGUGAACUAAUCGAGACCGAAAUUGGAAAAAGAGAUACGAACGGAGAGGAAUAACCAAUCGAUGAAAGAACAUGAAACCAUUCUGUUUCAAUAGAGGUACGAGAAACGGUUGGGGGCAAUGAAGUAGGUGAAGUGGUUGGAUUUUGCGAGCUGUUCCAACCACUGCUGGAUGUGAUUCCAAGAGCCGAACGAGAAUGAAUACCACACAGAAGAGUCAAGACCAGGCUACCUAAUGGAAUGUUUAACCGAUCCAUUCCGGAUCGACCGAAUUGGUACGGAAGUUGUAACAUGGGAAAACCACGGAAAACACGACUUAUUUGAAUAACCCGGUGACCUACCAAUUGUAGAAGUAGGAUUUUUGGCAAGCAAUAAGCACUUAAAUAAUACAAUUCAAGUGUACCAUCUUCUUUCUCAUUUCGAGGAAAAGGUGCGGAAGGAAAAGGAAACAACGGAGGGAUCCGAAUCGGACCUAAAUGGGAAUGACAUGAAAAGUCUUUUUCAAAACCUAGCAUUAAGGGCGUUACGACGAUAUACGAGAGGAAUAGAGAAAAACUCGUGAUUGGUGUGGAGGGGAAGAUCUGUUUAUGAUAUAGUUCAAGAAAGAGUCGUCUCAUUUCCUUACUUCUUUAUAAUUCAUUCACUUCAAGACUGGUUCUGAACGCCGCGUAAGAUCAUCUUCAACCAACCUCCACCGUACUUUCGGUGCGACCACUAAAGAAUUGCUUAUACACUAAAGAGCUGCUUAUAUACGUUUACUAAAAGACUGACUUUCAUUCAUUAUCAUUAGUCCAGCGUGAAACUAAGAAAGAGAGAUGUGCCUAAGGCGGCAUGUAAGCAAACUGUGCACGCUAAGAGAAGAGGAGAGAUGUUCGCAAUUACUACCACAAGAAAGCCGCCCCCUAUCUUCUAAAGGGGCCCGUCACUUCGUUCGUACCUUCUUGGCUUAGGCUUCCAACUGAACAACAUGGCCUUGCCGCCCCGCCACUAGCAGAAGCUAAGCGCUUGAAAAGCGCGCUAAGAAAGGUUGCUUCUGUCGCCCUUUCUGUGCAACAGUCCACCAGUAGCGGAAGAGAGGGUUACCGUACAUACAAGAGUCUUCCAGUUCUUACGGAAGCUCUUUCUUACCAGUCAAUCAAGUAGUACAAGAACUGUAUCUUAUCUUAUAGCCCGGCGCGGCGGGUCGCCUUUUAAAUUAAUUAAGUAGAUAGAAGAAAGUAUUAAAUAGAUAAGGAGUAGAUGAGUGAGUGAGUCCUCACUGACCUGAGCGAUUUCGAUCACCUAGCAGGCCUUUUAUUUGGUAGGUAACAUCGCCAAAGCGUAUCAUCAGAUUUGACUACGAAGGAAGGAACUCGAAGUGAAAGGGCACCGUCUUGUGCAAGGCAACGAUAGUUGGCCCUCUAUCAUCUUCUAUCUGGUAGACUUGGUAAAAGGGCCCCGACUUAUUUCCAGAAUUUGAGUUCGACCGCGGCUUCCCCCUUUUUUUGGGGGGGAUCAAGUUCCUUGCCAACUGCCACCUAUCGACCCCGAUCUCUUUUCAUUUGUUUUGGAUAUUACCAAACCUAGCCUAGCCUUCGUAAAUCACACUAAAGCGGACACCCAACUAUGGAAAAGCCUCCUUAAGGGUGGGUUAGGUUAGUCAAUCCGGCCCGAGACGCGUUCGUUGACAAAACCGCCGUAGGAAUUCCUACUUUUCAAUAGAGCGGAGGCGAACUGAUCAACGAGAAAGAGGCCCUACUCACUACAAACGAAUACACCACAAGAUUGAACUGCACUCAUGCCUCUCCCGCAUCAAGUUGACCGCCCCCCCUACGUAGUGAUUCUAUCAAUCAUGUACGUAGGUAGGACCCUCCAUUCUGAUUGGUAUAUCAUGAAAAAAGAAAGCCAUUUGCACCAGGCGCACUGCGCUUUCCCUUGCCCAGAUGUUCGCCUUUCUAAGUCAAGUAAUGGUGACCCACCGAAGACUGGAGCUUCGUAACAUGUUGACGAAGGCCCCCGAACUGAGGGUUCGGUCAGUAGAAGGGACGACUUUGUCUCCCCGGAAGAAGAAUAGCCCCGCUCUCUAGCCGACUGAUCCCGUUGACCCUAUAACUGGGAGGGAACGUGUCACAUUAGAGGUGAACGAUCAGAGGUGUCCUCUAAUCACCACGACGAGGCGGGUCCCUCUUUUAGUAGACUCAGCUAUGAAUAUUCAUUCAGAAAUGAAUGCCGGGCUCUUUCUUUCACUGCUAACCCCAUUUUCAACAUGCUGAAACUUUCUGUUUCGUCGAGCCCCGAGCUUGUGGUCCUCCUUUGAGUGUGGGUUCAAUUGAAUGAAUCUGUCAAGUCAAGGAAACCGUACGUAGCAGCAAGGAUGGUGCAUCGCCUAUUUAUCGUUCUCGCUCGGGAGCCAAAACGAACACGCCUGCUACCUACUGUACUGGACCUUCGACCAGGCAUUCUACCUUUGUCGAAUCGGAACCAACACCACUGCAUUGCGCUCGAACAGUUGAGCGGCCGCCGGCCAGCAACUUCCGUGCACAGAUAUAGAUUCAUUCCUCGUACCUGGUCCAGCCUCACAACCCUUCGCGGGUUGGUAAGAAGUCAGUCUUGUUUGGUAAGACGGAAUUGGACAAAGAAAAGAGAGUGCUCGACCGGAACAACGGCCAACAAAGACCGUAAUUACAUAGAUAACUGCUCCUCCCCCUCUCCUUAAGGCUUUAAGGCGAACCGUAUGGCGGCUGGAAAGAAAGACGCCCUCACCUUCUCUGGUGUCAGUGAGAGCAAUUUGAGUAUCCCCCGUUGACCUUCUUUUGUAGAUAGAAUCUUCAAUGAGUGGAAACAAGCAACCUUACUAAGAAAGGUGCUUGUUGAGUAAGGCCGGCUUUCGAGCCCAAGCCCCUUGUAUAGGUUGGGCGCUUGAGCGCAUCUUUCUCAUAUCGAUCAAGGCUUUCCUUGAGUUAGAAAUAAGGGGCAAGAAGCAAGGGCGUAGCAGCUGCGCGAAAGCCGUUGCGCCUUAGCGCAUCCCUUUUCUUGCAGGAGUGCUAACGCGCGACCUUACGUUUUCUUCCGCUUGCUCUGCAGUACGAGCCUCAUACAGAGCCGCGCUCCUUUAAUAUGAUGAGAAGAAGGGGGGCCGGCCUCUUUUCCGUACCAAUCCUUAUUUACUACUACAUCUUUUUUUGGGUGUAUAGCUCAGUUGGUAGAGCAUUGGGCUUUUAACCUAAUGGUCGCAGGUUCAAGUCCUGCUAUACCCAAACCUACCUUACACUCUACUAUGAAUAAGGAUGCAUAGUAGCCUUCAAAGAUGACUCUUUGGCCUUUCGACUCGCUUCGGCGACUUCGCCCUUUAAGUGACAAGGGGGUGAGCCGCUCCAAGCGGAAAGCGAUAGUGAAUCCCGAACUUGCCCACGCUCAUCCAAACCGGCCUCAAAAAGCGAUCGGAAAGCGAAGCCCUUCCUUCCAAUCCAAGCCGGCGAAGCCGCCCCUAUAUCUAACCACCGCUCACCCCGAUCACAUAUUGGCACGUUCAUGAUGCAUCAUAAUCAAAAGGCCGUAAAGUAAAGAAGACCUAUGCAUCAGUGUACUGUCAUGAUCACUAGCUCGAUUUUAUUGACGGCUUGAAGGCGAAGCCGCCUAUUUCUUAGGGCAAAGGGCGCUCCAUCCUCCUAACUCCUUCCACUUCUCCCAGGGACAGGAACUACGGCUUGACCUUCGGGGAAGAAGUCCGUGGGACCCCUCCUUCGAGGGCGCCUAGAUAGUGAAAGGUUAUCCCUUUGCAAGGCUGGAAGCUAAGCAAAGUCACGAAGCUGGCUGACUACGCUCGAGCAGAGCCCAGACCCGGAGGUGGUGGCUGAACUCGCCGCAGAGUUCAGGAGCGGAAAGCCACUUGACUGUAAGGAAAGGAGCGAGCAAGACUAUCUUGGUGAAUGCAAUAAGAACCGGCUGCUCGCCGCAGCAGAGUGCUUUGCCCAUGCUGCUAUCCGCCGCCGAAGCGCUCAAGGGAUUCGUGCUUGAAUGUCGAGAUCAGGGGACUCUAUCCAAUCCAUGCGGCAAAUCUGUUUGUGGUGGAAAAAAGUCAACAAUAAAGAAAAAAGAAAUAAAUAGAAUAUAGAAAAUCAUUGAAUUUGUUUGCUCCGAUACAAGAGAUCGGCCCCGAAGCAAGAUAUGGUGGGUGCCAGCAACUUUCACUUGUUAGGAGUAGGGGCUGAAAAGAGCUCUUUGUAUAGGUUGGGUUUUCUGGGCUUUGAUGCUUACCUUCUUAUUAUUAAAAGGGGAGGGUUUAAUAAAGGAGCUGAAAGCCACUUGACUGUAAGGAAAGGAGCCACCAUUCUCUUUCUUUCUUCUUCCGAUCAGGACAAGUGGGUUGGUUCGUUUCGUCCUCCUAUCUACGCAAUUCUCUGUCUUCGUUCGGUUCGGCAGAAGAAAGCCGAGAAAACAAACAAAUAGGAAGAGCACUAUGCAAGCUUAUAAUUAAGCAAAUAUAUAAAAGCUAUCACCACCUCAAGCAGUAAAACAAAGUCGUUAUGGCUAUGUUACUAACAUAGACAACCAUGAAUGGUAUUCAUUGACAGGAGUGACCGCUUUCUAGUCGUAGUUGGUACCGCCCCUGUUCACUUCAGCAUGCAAGGAACACCUUCGGGAAGAAUCAAAGUUUUUCUCCUCUGCAAAGCUAUCAAUGCUUUAUUCAAGAUCUUUAGCAGUCGAUCGUUCAUUCUCCCUCCCCAGUGGCUUUCGAAAGCUCGACAUGAAAGAAUAAAGAAAAUAGGAAAAAAGAGUACGGGGAUAUUUAGCUAUUUAGCUAUUUAGCCUUAGAGAAAGGUGACUUGGUAAGACCAGAAUCUGGAACAGAGAUUGGAUGAAGAAUUGCUUUUUCUUUAGCGGGAAUGGCGCCACCUUUUUAUUUAGCAACUGCCGCCCCGCUUAAUAGGAAUAGGAUGCACUUACCGACCGGUGAAAGGAAAGAGCUGGGUCAGCCAUCGACAAAGGAAUACCGAACUCUACCCGUGUGAGGCCUCGUAGCCAGGGAGAACCAUAGAAUCGGAGGGUUAUAUUAGAACAUCGGUGGAAAGGUCGAGAGGGCACCUAAAAAUAGCUUUAGAAGCCAGAUUAGGAAAGUCUUUCCCGAGUUCGAGCAAAUGCAAUGCGACAUCCAGGCAAAAAAGGGCUGGGGUCCGAUCUGCGCAUACAUCACUAAAGAAGAUAAGAAUCCACAUAUAUGGGGGAACACGUCAAAGGCCCAUGUUAUGGAAGUAGCAGAGGCUUAUGAGGGAAAGAAAAAAACAGGGGGUGCUCCUCUCCUUACAGUCAAGUGGCUUUCCGCUCCUCUACAACUACCUUUCGCCCAACAUGAUCACGAACGAAGACAGAGAAUUGCGUAGAUAGGAGGACGAAACGAACCAACCCACUUGUCCUGAUCGGAAGAAGAAAGAAAGAGAAUGGUGGCUCCUUUCCUUACAGUCAAGUGGCUUUCAGCUCCUUUUGCCCAGGGGACAUCGUCGGAGAACAAUGUCGGGGACAGGGUGAGAGCCUCCCGUUGGUUACGCCCUUUAAGUGUCGGUUCUUCCAUAUUUAGAUAUGGAGAUAGAUCCAUAUAGAGAUCUAUAUCUUUCUAUCGAUAAAUAGAUCUAUUGAGAAAUGGAUAUUGAUCUGGUUUCAAGAUCUAUGAACAAGAGAGAUCCCUAAAUAUCCAUUUGAGAAAAUAGAUGAAUAGAUAGGGCGAAGCCAGCUGAAGGAAGGUCGCGUUAGCGCCCCCUAUUUCACUAAAGCAAGAAGGGAGAAAGUUGACUUUGAGAAAGAAGGGCUUCUAUUUAGAUUAGUUUCUUAGUAAAAGAUAAGGCAAGAAGCAAGGGCGUAGCAGCUGCGCGAAAGCCGUUGCGCCUUAGCGCACCCCUUUUCUUGCUCGUUAGCGCCCCCCUACCCCUAUUAUUUAGAUUAUAGUCAUAAAGGAACUAAAGGAAAUUUGACAACCUUACUAAUAGAAAGGGGAUGCGCUCAAGCAUGCGAAGAAAGCUCGAAGAGCUUCUCUUAUAUUAUAGAAAGGUUUGUAGAAAGGGGAUUCUUCAAAUAUCCCAUGUUGUAGGGGCUUCAAAG